rnacentral:rRNA from 1 species
UCGGUGUAGCGGUGAUAUGCGUAGAUAUCGAGAAGAACACCAGCGGCGUAAGCGGCUCUCUAUCCUGAAACUGACGCUGAGGUGCGAAAGCCAGGGGAGCGAACGGGAUUAGAUACCCCGGUAGUCCUGGCCAUAAACGAUGUGCACUUGGUGUUGGGCCGCGAGGCUCAGUGAAGAAGCUAACGCAUUAAGUGCACCGCCUGGGGAGUACGACCGCAAGGUUGAAACUCAAAGGAAU